rfam:Oesophagostomum dentatum strain OD-Hann O_dentatum-1.0_Cont24818.1, whole genome shotgun sequence.
CCAACGGCCCUCUUUAGGGCCACAAUUUGAUAAGUUCAUACUUUGU